UAUGUGAUCGUCUCUCGCAUAUCAAUAAGCGGAGGAAAAGAAACUAACAAGGAUUCCCCUAGUAACGGCGAGUGAAGCGGGAAGAGCUCAAAUUUGAAAUCUUAAAGGGUUUCCCUUUACGAAUUGUAGUUUAAAGAAGUGUUUUCUGUUGAGGUUUUGGUAAAAGUUCUUUGGAAUAGGACAUCAUAGAGGGUGAGAAUCCCGUAUUUGACCUUUACUUUCAACUUUGUGAUACACUUUCAAAGAGUCGGAUUGUUUGGGAAUGCAGUCCAAAAUGGGUGGUAAAUUUCAUCUAAAGCUAAAUAUUGGCGAGAGACCGAUAGCGAACAAGUACCGUGAGGGAAAGAUGAAAAGAACUUUGAAAAGAGAGUUAAACAGUACGUGAAAUUGUCAAAAGGGAAGCGUUUGACACCAGUGUUGUUUUUCUGAAAAUCCAAUUAAAGAACUGUUUAUGCUAAGUUGUUUAGACUUUAUCAGCUAACUGUUUAGUUUUGAGCUUUUCUUUAAUGCACUUUUCAGUUAACAAGUCAACAUCAAUUUCUUUUGCUGUAAAAAAGCUUGAGGAAGGUGGCUUGAGAUUCGUCUUAAGUGUUUAUAGCCUCUUGCCUAUGCAGUCGGAGAGAUUGAGGUCUGCAGCGUAGAUCCUUCGGGGCUAAAUGCAUUUGUGCUAAGUUAUAACAUUUUAUAGACAACUUGUUGACUAUGAUUUGUCUUGUAGCUUACUCGCUUAUGUUAUUUUACCUACGCUUAGGAUGUUGAGUAGCGACAUACGCAC
rnacentral:rRNA from 1 species